rnacentral:lncRNA from 1 species
AUAUGUAUCCCGCUGGGUAUGGCUCGUAGUCAAUCUCUGGAGGAUAUGGAGGAUCAUAGGCUAGGUAACCUUUUCACUAUUCUUUUAGAAAGGUACCUUCAAAUAACCAGGUCUCUUCAUCCUUAUCGGGCACUCCCACAAGAGACAAUUCUUUUUAGCCUCUAAGAGACAACAAGAAGAGCCUAACCAGGACCUUGAGA